rnacentral:rRNA from 1 species
CAGUCGCCGCGGGAAUACGUAGGUGGCAAGCGUUGUCCGGAAUCAUUGGGCGUAAAGGGCUCGCAGGCGGUUUCUUAAGUCUGAUGUGAAAGCCCCCGGCUCAACCGGGGAGGGUCAUUGGAAACUGGGAAACUUGAGUGCAGAAGAGGAGAGUGGAAUUCCACGUGUAGCGGUGAAAUGCGUAGAGAUGUGGAGGAACACCAGUGGCGAAGGCGACUCUCUGGUCUGUAACUGACGCUGAGGAGCGAAAGCGUGGGGAGCGAACAGGAUUAGAUACCCGCGUAGUCCCUGUCUCUUAUAU